CCGUUUCUUUUGGGCACGGAGAUUAAGAAAUAUUGAAUUAAGGAGAUAAAGUGAUAGGCUAUGUAUUUAAAGAUGUUAUUAGUAACAUUAAUUGUUAGCUAAUCUACAACAAUUGAAGAUGAUGGCCCACCACCAUUUUCCCCUCACUCUAGCCGGCAAAAAUCCGGCAACGCCAACCGUCUGACCGACCUUCUUCUUCAAUACUCCGGCAAAAAUUCGGCAACUUCAGCAGUCGGACCAACCUUCUU
rnacentral:lncRNA from 1 species